AUUGAACGCUGGCGGCAGGCCUAACACAUGCAAGUCGAGCGGAUGAAGGGAGCUUGCUCCUGGAUUCAGCGGCGGACGGGUGAGUAAUGCCUAGGAAUCUGCCUGGCAGUGGGGGAUAACGUCUGGAAACGGGCGCUAAUACCGCAUACGUCCUGAGGGAGAAAGUGGGGGAUCUUCGGACCUCACGCUAUCAGAUGAGCCUAGGUCGGAUUAGCUAGUUGGUGGGGUAAAGGCCUACCAAGGCGACGAUCCGUAACUGGUCUGAGAGGAUGAUCAGUCACACUGGAACUGAGACACGGUCCAGACUCCUACGGGAGGCAGCAGUCGGGAAUAUUAGACAAUAGGCGAAAGCCUGAUACAGCGAUGCCGCGUGUGUGAAGAAGGUCUUCGGAUUGUAAAGCACUUUAAGUUGGGAGGAAGGGCAGUAAGUUAAUACCUUGCUGUUUUGACGUUACCAACAGAAUAAGCACCGGCUAACUUCGUG
rnacentral:rRNA from 1 species